UAUUUUCCAGCCAAAUGGUGCAACAGAGGACUUCCAGGAAUUUGUUCUUGUUCUCUAUCAAAGGCCCUACAGAUUCAGGACCACGGCCAGCACCCACACUGCCUUCCGUAAACACUGAGCUAAACCUAGAGCCUCGGUGAUGAGAUCAGCCCUGCCUUUGUAAGUUGGUUUUCUCAACAAACAUCAACUGAACAUCUACUAAGCAUAAGUCGCUGGCGCAAUGAAGAUUCCCGCUCUGAAGCAGGACGUCCCCACUCUCUCGUAGAACAAAGGCAGUCAAGGGUGCAAGGAUAUUGGAAGCUGUAUUCUGUGAGCGUUCAUGAAGGCUGUGGAAGGAUCCAGGCAGGAUGGCCUCAAAUUAAGAUUUUAAUGACUCUUUGGUUUAGAAAACACACUCUUAUUGUUAACACUAUCUUAUCAGGUAUCAUUUUUGAAUUCACAG
rnacentral:lncRNA from 1 species